UACAGAGGGACCAAGCGUUGUUCGGAUUUACUGGGCGUAAAGCGUGCGCAGGCGGACAUUUAAGUCAGGGGUGAAAUCCCAGAGCUCAACUCUGGAACUGCCUCUGAUACUGGGUAUCUUGAGUAUGGAAGAGGUGAGUGGAAUUGCGAGUGUAGAGGUGAAAUUCGUAGAUAUUCGCAGGAACACCAGUGGCGAAGGCGGCUCACUGGACAUGUAUUGACGCUGAGGUGCGAAAGCGUGGGGAGCAAACAGG
rnacentral:rRNA from 1 species